rnacentral:rRNA from 1 species
GACGAACGCUGGCGGCGUGCUUAACACAUGCAAGUCGAGCGGUAAGGCCCUUUCGGGGGUACGACGAGCGGCGAACGGGUGAGUAACACGUGGGUGACCUGCCCUCAGCUCUGGGAUAAGCCUGGGAAACCGGGUCUAAUACUGGAUAUGACUCCAUGACGCAUGUUGUGGGGUGGAAAGCCUUGUGCGGCUGAGGAUGGCCCGCGCCUAUCAGCUUGUUGGUGGGGUGAGGCCUACCAAGGCGACGACGGGUAGCCGGCCUGAGAGGGCGACCGGCCACACUGGGACUGAGACACGGCCCAGACUCCUACGGGAGGCAGCAGUGGGGAAUCUUGCGCAAUGGGCGAAAGCCUGACGCAGCGACGCCGCGUGAGGGAUGACGGCC